GGACAACAGUUGGAAACGACUGCUAAUACCGCAUAAAAUAACGGAAUCGCAUGAUUCUGUUAUCAAAGGAGAAAUCCGCUGAAAGAUGGGCUCGCGUCUGAUUAGAUAGUUGGUGAGGUAACGGCCCACCAAGUCGACGAUCAGUAGCCGGACUGAGAGGUUGAACGGCCACAUUGAGACUGAGACACGGCCCAGACUCCUACGGGAGGCAGCAGUGGGGAUAUUGGACAAUGGGGGAAACCCUGAUCCAGCGAUGCCGCGCGAGGGAAGAAGGUUUUCGGAUUGUAAACCUCUGUGGACAGGGACGAUAAUGACGGUACCUGUCAAGAAAGCCACGGCUAACUACGUGCCAGCAGCCGCGGUAAUACGUAGGUGGCGAGCGUUGUCCGGAAUUACUGGGUGUAAAGGGAGUGUAGGCGGGAAGGCAAGUCAGAAGUGAAAAUUAUGGGCUCAACCCAUAACCUGCUUUUGAAACUGUUUUUCUUGAGUGAAGCAGAGGCAAGCGGAAUUCCUAGUGUAGCGGUGAAAUGCGUAGAUAUUAGGAGGAACACCAGUGGCGAAGGCGGCUUGCUGGGCUUUUACUGACGCUGAGGCUCGAAAGCGUGGGGAGCAAACAGGAUUAGAUACCCUGGUAGUCCACGCCGUAAACGAUGAUUACUAGGUGUGGGGGGAUGAACCCUUCCGUGCCGGA
rnacentral:rRNA from 1 species